rnacentral:rRNA from 1 species
GGUUAAGCGACUAAGCGUACACGGUGGAUGCCCUGGCAGUCAGAGGCGAUGAAGGACGUGCUAAUCUGCGAUAAGCGUCGGUAAGGUGAUAUGAACCGUUAUAACCGGCGAUUUCCGAAUGGGGAAACCCAGUGUGAUUCGUCACACUAUCAUUAACUGAAUCCAUAGGUUAAUGAGGCGAACCGGGGGAACUGAAACAUCUAAGUACCCCGAGGAAAAGAAAUCAACCGAGAUUCCCCCAGUAGCGGCGAGCGAACGGGGAGCAGCCCAGAGCCUGAAUCAGUGUGUGUGUUAGUGGAAGCGUCUGGAAAGGCGCGCGAUACAGGGUGACAGCCCCGUACACAAAAAUGCACAUGCUGUGAGCUCGAUGAGUAGGGCGGGACACGUGGUAUCCUGUCUGAAUAUGGGGGGACCAUCCUCCAAGGCUAAAUACUCCUGACUGACCGAUAGUGAACCAGUACCGUGAGGGAAAGGCGAAAAGAACCCCGGCGAGGGGAGUGAAAAAGAACCUGAAACCGUGUACGUACAAGCAGUGGGAGCACGCUUAGGCGUGUGACUGCGUACCUUUUGUAUAAUGGGUCAGCGACUUAUAUUCUGUAGCAAGGUUAACCGAAUAGGGGAGCCGAAGGGAAACCGAGUCUUAACUGGGCGUUAAGUUGCAGGGUAUAGACCCGAAACCCGGUGAUCUAGCCAUGGGCAGGUUGAAGGUUGGGUAACACUAACUGGAGGACCGAACCGACUAAUGUUGAAAAAUUAGCGGAUGACUUGUGGCUGGGGGUGAAAGGCCAAUCAAACCGGGAGAUAGCUGGUUCUCCCCGAAAGCUAUUUAGGUAGCGCCUCGUGAAUUCAUCUCCGGGGGUAGAGCACUGUUUCGGCAAGGGGGUCAUCCCGACUUACCAACCCGAUGCAAACUGCGAAUACCGGAGAAUGUUAUCACGGGAGACACACGGCGGGUGCUAACGUCCGUCGUGAAGAGGGAAACAACCCAGACCGCCAGCUAAGGUCCCAAAGUCAUGGUUAAGUGGGAAACGAUGUGGGAAGGCCCAGACAGCCAGGAUGUUGGCUUAGAAGCAGCCAUCAUUUAAAGAAAGCGUAAUAGCUCACUGGUCGAGUCGGCCUGCGCGGAAGAUGUAACGGGGCUAAACCAUGCACCGAAGCUGCGGCAGCGACGCUUAUG